rnacentral:lncRNA from 1 species
UUUUCGCUUGUUUUUGAAGUUUUAAACUUGGAUCCAAGAUUUUAAAAAGUUUGGAGACAGUUUGUCCUCAACUCCAAGUUUGGGUCGCAUUUACCUUAGAUCUUCAAGAGGUAAGUAUAGAUUCUUGCCUUUUUCUAUGUUUUAAGUAAGUUUUAAAAAGGGUUAAGGGUUAAUAAUGCAUGAAAUGGCUAGAUCUAGGAUUAUAGGCUUUGAGUUGGGUUUUGAUGAAUGUAUGCUCCCUCUUGUGUUUUGUUGUUGUUUGUUUGGGGUUUAGGCUAGUUCUUAUACUCCUUAAGCAUGUUGGAGUGAGUAUGCAUGUUGUGGGAAGUUGGGUGUGAGGAUUUGAGAGUUUUGGGGCUGAAAUGCUUAAGACAGAAUCGGGUUCUGCCAUUCUGGGGAACCCAGGUUCGGCCGCCGAACCUGCAUGGGAGGCAGCCUUUUGGCCGCCUAACAUGCCCCCGAAAGUUUUUGACUUUCGGAUCUGUGGAGGACUUUCGGCCGCCGAACCUGCACUUGAAGGACCCUGACUUUCGGAUCUGUAGAGGACUUUCAGCCGCCGAAUCUGCCGCCGAAAGUCCUCUACCCAGCCUUCCUUUGCUUGUUUUAUAUACAUUUUUUGUGAUAUUUUAGGGGUUUUUGGGGAGUUGUUUAGAGUCUUGUCCCUCAUUUGUGUUCACCUGUGUAGGAUCGAACCAGGGAGACCGUAGAGGCCUUCAGUGAGCCAGCUACAUCUUUGUCCGUCGAGUGUUAGCCAGAGGUGAGUAGAACUGAACUAAUAUCUUGUUUUAAAGUAAUCAAGUUUUUUUGAGCAUGUUCAUGCAUCACGAAUGCCAUGCUAUGUAACAGGUUGUUUGCAUUAGAAUUCACGAAUAUGAUGCAUUGCAUAUGUACCGUUGUUGUUGUUGUGGAUUGAUAUUGGAUGACCCAUUAGCCCUUGAGCAGGUUAUGUUAUGACGGAUACGGAAGACUAGGGCUGCCCAUUCUACGCGCCCUGAUACUAUGUAAGAGAAAGACUAGGGCUACUCAUUCUACGCCCGUGGCAUUUAUGGAUAUGCUAUGUUAUGUUUAAGAGGAAGUUCUGAGGAGCUCCGUCGAGGGCCGGACACUAAUUGGAAUAUGUAGGGGGUUACUGGUGAUAAGUCCAUCCUUGAUGUGUAUUGUUUGUGUUGUGAUGCUUUUCAUGAGAGCAUAUGUUUAUUAAAUUGUUUUUAUGUUCUGCUCACUAGGCUCUUGUAGCUUAUCCUUUUCCCCUAACCCCAGGUUUGCAGGGUCAAGAAUAGCUCAGGAGGUCGGCUAGAGGCUGAUAUAAGUUUAUGUAAUAGAAUAGUAGUGGACAUGUACUAUGUAAUGGAUUAGAUUUGUACUUUGCCCUAGUUUAUGUUUUUUAAAUCCCUAUGAAUAUGAUUAUUAUGUAAAAAGUUUUAUGUAUAUGUUAUGUUGAACCAAGUUGAGGCAUGUAUGUUGACCAUACUGAAGCAUUUGAUGAGGGCUUUAGUAUGGGUUUUAUGUUUUCAGUUUAUGAUACAUGCACAGGUUAAGUUUGGUUUCAUGGUAAUGUUUAAGUUUUUGUUAAAAUGUUUGAUCAUGUAUGGGAUUUUAUCAGGUACACAGGAUGUAUAGUAGGCUUGCUACGGGUUCCGGCGACCUUAAGUCGACCUGAAUUCUAGCGUCGGUAGGGGGCCGGUUUCCGGGUCGUUUAUAUGGUCGGACGAGUGUCGGGCUCAUAGAUGUUAUAGAAGGGCAAGCACAUUAGGAAAAAUCAUGUCCACUAGGAUAGAAUGUAGAGUCCUGUCUUGAUGAUGAUGUGUAAUGCCAUGACUAUAUGCAUGUGCGUUAAUGAUAUGUUAUGUAUAUGAUGUGGGUUCAUGUGUAUCCACAUGAACCAUAUGAUUGCUAAUAUUUAUGUGAUGUAUGUUGUUUUUCAGAAAACAGAAUGCGAGGUUCACGUCGAUCUGCACGAUUGACAGGAGUUCCACCUGAGAAUGAGGGCAUGGAUGCCCUACCCCCUGCUCUGCCAAGAGCACGGUCAAGUAGAACCAACAGAGGAGAAACAUCAAGGGACUCUAGAAGGUCUUUUGAUGUAAACAGGAGGAGAACAGAUCCGGGUAGGAUGUCUGCUGAUGUGAGGGAAUCAGUUGAGGAUGAUCAGAGGAGAGAUGGAAGUUUGGGUGUCAGUAUGUCAGAAGAGGGUAUGGGAGAAUCACAAGGAGGCGCUCAGGCCUCGAGUUUUGCUUACCCACCACAGUACCAACCCUACCCACAGGGACUAGGGUAUCCGAUAGGAGGCACAUCGGAUUUCUCUAGCUACAACCCAUAUCCCUCAUUCAUGCCCUAUCCUCCUUUUUACCCACCAUAUCCACCUUAUCCCAUGUUUUCACCCCCACCUUUUUAUCAGAACCCAGCAAACCCUAACCCAGGGAAUCCUGCACCACCUCCUCCUCCCUCAGUAGAACCAGUGGUUCCUGAAACCCAAUCAUCCAAACCCAACCAAUCAGAUGGGAGCAAGGUAAAAAUGACAGACUAUCUAAAGUUGAAUGUUCCCAAAUUUAAAACAGGUGAUGAUCCGUUUGAGUAUCUCAAGAGGGUGAAAAUGAUAACUGAUGAGUUGGGAGCCAGUGACAGCAUAGCCAUUCAAACGGCGGGGUUCACUCUUAAAUGCAAGAAGGCUAAGAAGUGGUUUAAAAAUUAUGUGGACCCAAGACUGGAUAGCUUAUCCUGGGAGCAGUUUGCUAAUGAGUUUGCAGGAUUGGCUUUUUCUGACAGUUCAAGGGAGCUAAAAGUGAUAGAGUUUGAGCAGCUGAGGCAGACCGAAGACAUGAGUGUAGAUGAAUACACAGACAAAUUUUUGGAGUUGCUCCAGUUUGUGGGGCAAGCAUAUGACACCGAUCAGAAGAAAGCCAGGAGGUAUACCAUGAGACUCCACUCUAGGUAUUCCUCCUUAAUUUUAGCAGCAGAGAGGGAGAGUUUCCAUACUAUUGUGGAUGUAGCACGAAAGAUGGAGGCUAGUGCCAUUAUUCAGGGGACAGUAAAGCAACAGGUGGCACAGUUCUCGGGUUCCAAAAUCUCAAGUACAGGGAAUAUUGAUCUCUCCUCUCUGGGUGCAGCCGCCACAGAAGGUAAAAAGUGGACCAGGUCCACUAAGAAGCCCAAGAAGAACAAGUUCUGGAACAGGUUAAAGUCGGGUCUGGGAAUGGGUGGUGGUUCGAGCUCUGGUUCGGAUAGCUCCGGAUGUAUGAGGUGCGGUAAGCCGCACAAAGGGGUUUGUCGGUUUGGGACUACAGCAUGUUUCAGAUGUGGACAGGAAGGGCACAUGGCACGUGAGUGUCCCAAUGCAGUUAUGAUGGCUCAGUCCCAGCGGACAGCUUCUGGCAGCGUGGCCCAGCCAGCAGCUCCAACCAUGUCACAGGACAGAGAUCAAGGUAGAGGGAGAGGGACAGCCUCUUCUUCAGCAGGUUCCCACGGAGAAGGUCCAUCAGCUCCAGCACGGAUCUUUACCAUGACUCAGCAGGAGGCUAAUACAUCGAACACGGUGGUGUCAGGUAAUCUCACUAUUGGAUGUUCUGAUGUGUAUGCUUUUAUGGACCCUGGUGCUUCUCAUUCUUUUAUUGCUCCGAGUGCCGUAGAGAGUUUGGGUUUGAUAGCUUUUGGGCUAGAGUAUCCUCUUUGGGUCAGUGGAUCCAAGUGUGAUCCAUCUGUGGCAGAGUCAGUCUGUCGAUUCAGUCCAGUUUUUGUUGAGGGUAGGUGCCUUCCAGCUGACCUUGUGGUUCUAGAAUUGACCGAUUUUGACGUCAUUCUAGGGAUGGAUUGGUUUUCUACUCAUGGUGCUACCUUGGAUUGCAGAGACAAGGUAGUCAGGUUCAGAGAUCAGGAUGGAUCAGAGGUAGUCUUCAGAGGGGACAAGAUAGGGAUGCCUAGAGGUUUAAUAUCAGCCCUACAGCCUCGUAGGCUGCUUAGGAGGGGUUGUCAGGGGUUCAUUGCUCAUGUCAGAGAGCUUAACAGUUAGGUUAGGGAACCAGCCUCAGUGCCUGUAGUCAAAGAGUUCCUAGAUGUCUUCCUAGACGAACUGCUAGGUUUAUCACCUGCUAAGGAGAUAGAAUUUGAAAUUGAAGUAAUGCCAGGAACCAGACCCAUCUCUAUUCCUCCCUACAGGAUGGCACCUGCAGAAUUGAAAGAGUUAAAGGAGCAGUUGCAGGAGUUGGUAGAUAAGGGUUUUAUCCGACUUAGUACCUCACCUUGAGGUGCUCCGGUCCUGUUUGUGAAAAAGAAGGAUGGAUCCUUAAGACUUUGUAUCGACUACAGACAGUUGAACAAGGUCACUACCAAGAACAGGUAUCCGCUACCUAGGAUUGACGAUCUAUUUGACCAGCUAGCAGGAGCCGGUUGUUUCUCCAAGAUAGAUUUGAGAUCCGGGUACCACCAGUUGAGGGUCAGAGAAGAAGAUGUGCCAAAGACAGCUUUCAGGACCAGAUAUGGGCAUUAUGAGUUCCUAGUGAUGUCGUUCGGGCUGUCCAAUGCUUCUGCAGCAUUCAUGGACCUCAUGAACAGAGUUUUAAGUCAAUUUCUGGAUCACUUCGUUAUUGUCUUCAUUGACGAUAUCUUAAUGUAUUCCAGGAAUGCAGAGGAGCAUGCCCAUCAUCUGAGGACAGUGUUGCAGACCGUGAGAGAACACGGCUUGUAUGCCAAGUUCUCUAAGUGUGAGUUCUGGUUGAGGAGCAUUUCUUUCUUGGGGCAUGUAGUGUCAAAAAAGGGAAUUUAGGUAGAUCUCAAGAAAGUUGAAGCUGUAGCUAACUGGCAUAAACCCACUACAGUGACAUAGAUUAAAAGCUUUUUGGGUUUGGCGGGUUACUACAGGAGAUUUGUCCAGGACUUCUCAAAAAUUGCAGCUCCUAUGACCAGGCUGACCAAAAAGAAUCAGAGAUUUGUUUGGUCAGAACAGUGUGAGGAAAGCUUUGAAGAGCUGAAGAGAAGGUUGACGUUAGCACCGGUGUUAGCUUUGCCUACAAGUGAUGAGGAUUUCACAGUGUUUUGUGAUGCAUCCCGAGUGGGACUAGGCUGUGUGUUAAUGCAGAAUGUGAGGGUAAUUGCUUAUGCUUCUAGGCAGCUGAAGAAACACGAGUUGAAUUAUCAUACACAUGAUUUAGAGAUGGCAGCUGUGAUCUUUGCACUCAAAAUGUGGAGGCAUUACCUCUAUGGGGUAAAAUGUGAGAUCUUUACAAAUUAUAAGAGUUUGCAAUACAUCUUGAGUCAGAAAGAGUUGAACCUGAGGCAGAGAAGAUGGGUAGAACUGCUUAGUAACUAUGAUUACAAGAUCCAGUACCAUCUGGGGAAAGCAAAUGUAGUAACAGAUGCUCUUAGCCAGAAAUCACUUGGCAGUUUAUCCCAUAUUACAGCAGAGAGGAGAUCAGUGGUGAGGGAAUUUUACAGGCUCAUUAAUGAAGGGUUACAGCUGGAGUUGUUUGGUACAGGUGCACUAGUAGUUCAGAUGAGAGUGACACCCGUGUUUCUGGAGCAGGUGGCAUAGAAACAGCAUGAGGACCCCGAGUUGGUGAAGAUAGCGAGGACUGUUCAUGCGGGCAAGAAUGGUGAGUUUAGAUUUGACAAAAAAGGGAAUUCUCCGUUACGGAAACAGAUUAUGUGUACCAGAUGACAUGAGUUUGAAGGGAGACAUUAUGAGAGACUCAUAAUGCUAGGUAUAGUGUUCACCCUGGGACCACCAAAAUGUACCAGGAUCUGAAGAGAGUUUAUUAGUGGCCAGCUAUGAAAAGGGAAGUGGCGCAGUUUGUGUCCGCUUGUGAAAUAUGCCAGAGAGUGAAGCUAGAGCAUUAGAAGCCAACUGGAAUGCUCAACCCGCUACCGAUUCCAGAGUGGAAAUGAAAAAAUGUGGCAAUGGAUUUCAUAGUGGGGUUAUCAGCCACGUCCAGCAGGUUAGAUUCUAUCUGGGUAAUAGUGGACAGAUUGACUAAAUCUGCUCACUUCAUUCCUGUCAGGAGUGGUUACUCGGUGGACAAGCUGGCACAGGUUUAUGUGGAGGAGAUCGUCAGGCUUCUUGGGGCUCCAGUUUCAAUUGUGUCAGAUAGGGGACCCCAGUUUACCUCCAGGUUUUGGCGGAGUCUGCAGAAUGCUAUGGGCACGAGGUUGGAUUUUAGCACUGCCUUUCAUCCACAGACUGACGGACAGUCAGAGAGGACUAUCCAAACUAUAGAAGAUAUGUUAAGAAUGUGUGUGCUAGAUUUUGGCGGAUCUUGGAGGCAACAUCUACCACUGGUGGAAUUUGCCUAUAAUAACAGUUAUCAUGCUAGCAUAGGGAUGGCUCCUUGUGAAGUUCUAUAUGGGAGGAAGUACAGGUCACCUGUUUGUUCGGAAGAAGUGGGAGAGAGGGCUUUAGCAUGGCCAUAAUUGGUUGAGAUCACCAGCAGUGUAGUGCCUAUUAUCAGAGAAAGAAUCAGAACUGCUGUGAGUCGGCAGAAGAGUUAUGUAGAUGUCCGCAGAAAAUAUGUUGAGUUCCAAGAGGGAGAUAUGGUGUUGCUCAAGGUGUCUCCUAUGAAAGGGGUUAUUCGUUUUGGAAAGAAAGGUAAGCUAGCUCCACGGUACAUCGGACCCUUCGAGAUCUUGCAAAAGGUUGGAAAUGUAUCUUACAAGCUGGACUUACCUGCUUCCAUGGAGAAAAUCCAUUCGGUUUUCCAUGUUUCCAUGUUACGGAAGUUCGUGUCAGAUCCGGGCAAAGUUCUUAAUGAACCUGAUGUAGAGAUCUUAGGAGAUCUCACCUAUGUUGAGCAGCCAGUUCGGAUUGUAGACACGCAGAUCAGAAAGUUGAGGAACAAGGAAAUCGCGAUGGUGAAAAUUAUUUGGAAUCACCACAAUCUGAAAGAAUGUACAUGGGAGACUCGGGAGUCAAUGCUUAAGCAAUACCCCUUUCUCUUUUAAAGUAAGUGUUUUAAGUUUUAUGUGCUUUCUUGAUGUUUAUGUUUGCUUGUUGAACAUUCGAGGAUAAAUGUUCUUAAGGGGGGAAGAAUGUAAUACCCUGCUAGACUCCGGCAUCGGAAUUCCAACAUUUCGACGAAAUUCCCGUUGGAAUCAGGAAUCUUGGAUGUCGAAACAUCCUAGAAGGGUAAAAUACGUUUUUACAAAAUGAUUUUCAUGGUUUUAUUGGUUGGUUUUGAGUUAAAAUUUUAAAAGAAAAGAAAAUGUUUUUUUUGGAGGAAAGCCAGGUUCGGUCGCCGAACAUGGUGCUGUCGUGGGAGCUCUCCUUUCGGCCCCCGAAGGUGGUCUGGCCAGCCACUUAUAAGAGGCCUCCAGUCCAAAAAUGGGGGAGUUUCUCUCUCUAUUUUCGGGCAAAAGUGAGUUCUUGCCUUUUCUUUGAUGAUUUUAUGUUUUUCCUUCAAAUCUUUAAAUUUUCAUGAGUUUUCGCUUGUUUUUGAUGUUUUAAGCUUGGAUCCAAGAUUUUAAAAUGUUUGGAGACUGUUUGUCCUUAACUCCAAUCUUGGGUCGCAUUUACCUUAGACCUUCAAGAGGUAAGUGUAGAUUCUUGCCUUUUCCUAUGUUUUAAGUAAGUUUUAAAAAGGGUUAAAGGUUAAUAAUGCAUGAAAUGGCUAGAUCUAGGGUUAUAGGCUUUGAGUUGGGUUUUGAUGAAUGUAUGCUCCCUUUUGUGUUUUGUUGUCGUUUGUUUGGGGUUUAGACUAGUUCUUAUACCCCUUAAGCAUGUUGGAGUGAGUAUGCAUGUUGUGGGAAGUUGGGUGUGAGGAUUUGAGAGUUUUGGGGCUGAAAUGCUUAAGACAGAAUCGAGUUCUGCCAUUCUGGGGAACCCAGGUUCGGCCGCCGAACCUGCAUGGGAGGCAGCCUUUUGGCCGCCUAACAUGCCCCCGAACCUGCUGCCAAAAGUUCUCUACCUAGCCUUCCUUUGCUUGUUUUAUAUGCAUGAUUUUAUGAUGUUUUAUGGGGUUUUUGAGGAGUUGUUUAGAGUCUUGUUAGAGUUAUGUUUGGUCCUUCAUUUGUGUCCACCUGUGUAGGAUCGGACCAGGGAGGCCGUAGAGGCCUUCAGUGAGCCAGCUGCGUCUUUGUCAGUUGAGUGUCAGCCAGAGGUGAGUAGAACUGAACUAAUAUCUUGUUUUAAAGUAAUUAAGUUUUUUUGAUCAUGUUCAUACAUCACAAAUGCAAUGUUAUGUAACAGGUUGUUUGCAUUAGAAUUCAUCACAAAUGUCAUGUUAUGUAACAGGUUGUUUGCAUUAGAAUGCAUCACAAAUGCCAUGUUAUGUAACAGGUUGUUUGCAUUAGAAUUCAUGAAUAUGAUGCAUUGCAUAUGUACUGUUGUUGUGGAUGGAUAUUGGAUGACCCACUAGCCCUCGAGCAGGUUAUGUUAUGACGGAUACGGAAGACCAGGGCUGCCCAUUCUACGCGCCCUGACGCUAUGUAAGAGAAAGAUUAGGGCUGCCCAUUCUACGCCCCUAGCAUUUAUGGAUAUGUUAUGUUAUGUUUAAGAGGAAGUCCUGAGGAGUUUCGUCGAGGGCCGGGCAUUAAUUGGAAUAUGUAAGGGGUUAUUGGUGACAAGUCCAUUCUUGAUGUAUAUUGUUUGUGUUGUGAUGCAUUUCAUGAGAGCAUAUGUUUAUUAAACUCUUUUUAUGUUCUGCUCACUAGACUCUUGUAGCUUAUCCCUUUCCCCUAAUCCCAGGUUUGCAGGGUCAAGAGUAGCUCGGGAGGUCGGCUAGAGCCUGGUAUAAAUUUAUGUAAUAGAAUAGUAGUGGACAUGUACUAUAUAAUAGAUUAUAUUUGUGUUUUGCCCUAAUUUAUGUUUUUUUAAAUCCCUGUGAAUGUGAUUACUAUGUAAAAAGUUUUAUGUAUAUGUUAUGUUGAACCAAGUUGAGACAU